UACGGGGGGAGCAAGCGUUGUUCGGAAUUACUGGGCGUAAAGGGCGCGUAGGCGGUCCGAUAAGUCCUGUGUGAAAUCCCUCGGCUCAACUGAGGAAUUGCACGGGAGACUGUCGGGCUUGAGUUCGGGAGAGGGAAGCGGAAUUCCGGGUGUAGCGGUGAAAUGCGUGGAUAUCCGGAGGAACACCGGUGGCGAAGGCGGCUUCCUGGACCGACACUGACGCUGAGGCGCGAAAGCUAGGGGAGCAAACGGG
rnacentral:rRNA from 1 species